rnacentral:misc_RNA from 1 species
ACCACUUGGUCUUGGAUGGUACUUCAGUUGCUGAGAGCUGACGCUGAUUAGUUUGUAUUGAAAUGAAGCAGCCUCUUUCCGGUUGCACAAUAUUUCGUACACCCCACUUUAAAGUCCCAAUCACAUACCCUUCUUUCUCAAUCAUCACCAGAUUUAUAUUCUGAACUCAUUGAAGCAUACGCUCGUGAUCAAGCCUCACACCAAGGAAGAAAACUGCAUUCGUAUAACCGGCUUGCUCUGCUCCUUCAACUCGUUUUGCCCCCAAGCUCGUAAACUGUUCGACGAAAUUUCCAAACCAAACACCCACCCUUGGGUUCAUGGGUUGUGCUCACUGGAGCCUACUCUCGACGUGGGUUUAAUCAGGAAGCUUUAACAGUAUUCUCCGAAAUGCAAAAUGAAGGGUUAGGGCCUAGUCUGUUUGUUUUUCCGAGUUUUGAUUUACAAGCAGGGAAGAUAUCGCUCUUUGUGAUUUUGAGGCCUUCAUUUGAGUCUGAUGUUUUUGUCAUUAGUG